GUGCUCGCUUCGGCAGCACAUAUACUAAAAUUGGAACGAUACAGAGAAGAUUAGCAUGGAAGAAUGAAACUAGAACACUUUCUAACACCAUACAAAAAAAU
ensembl:snRNA U6 U6 spliceosomal RNA